rnacentral:rRNA from 1 species
GACGAACGCUGGCGGCGUGCUUAACACAUGCCAGUCGAACGGAAAGGCCCUGCUUUUGUGGGGUGCUCGAGUGGCGAACGGGUGAGUAACACGUGAGUAACCUGCCCUUGACUUUGGGAUAACUUCAGGAAACUGGGGCUAAUACCGGAUAGGAGCUCCUGCUGCAUGUGGGGGUUGGAAAGUUUCGGCGGUUGGGGAUGGACUCGCGGCUUAUCAGCUUGUUGGUGGGGUAGUGGCUUACCAAGGCUUUGACGGGUAGCCGGCCUGAGAGGGUGACCGGCCACAUUGGGACUGAGAUACGGCCCAGACUCCUACGGGAGGCAGCAGUGGGGAAUAUUGCACAAUGGGCGGAAGCCUGAUGCAGCAACGCCGCGUGCGGGAUGACGGCCUUCGGGUUGUAAACCGCUUUCGCCUGUGACGAAGCGUGAGUGACGGUAAUGGGUAAAGAAGCACCGGCUAACUACGUG